rnacentral:piRNA from 1 species
UUCACUGACCUCCAAAAAGUG